rnacentral:tRNA from 1 species
GUAAAUAUAGUUUAUUAAAAAUAUUGCUUUUGUAAAGCAAAGUAAACUAGCUUAGUUUAUUUAUA